rnacentral:rRNA from 1 species
GACGGAAGGUGCAAGCGUUGCUCGGAAUCACUGGGCGUAAAGGGUGCGUAGGCGGCUUGGUAAGUUGGGUGUGAAAGCCCCGGGCUCAGCCCGGGAAGGGCACUCGAAACUGCCGAGCUGGAGUGCCGGAGAGGAGAGUGGAAUUCCUGGUGUAGCGGUGAAAUGCGUAGAUAUCAGGAGGAAUACCGGUGGCGAAAGCGACUCUCUGGACGGCAACUGACGCUGAGGCACGAAAGCGUGGGGAGCAAACAGG